CCUUGCAUGACCGAGUUUCUUCAUGAAGUGGUAAUUUCGCAUUUGCUGACCUGAAUUUUCAGUGCUGAAAUUGAGUAGUAUGACACCAACAGAAUGGGAAAAUGGCACAGUAGCACAUCUCUCAGGAAACUGUCAGUAUGGCAGAUUUCACUCACCUGUAAAGAACUGAGCAGAGACGUGACCUCUUCAAGAGUUCUCCUCCUUGCUGAGACACAGACUCCUUAAAUCACAUAGGCAUGUGGUUAUUACAGUCUGCAGUGUUGGGUAGAACCUGGCCCACAGAUGUUCAAUAAAUGUUUCUUUAAUUACCUGGAACCAAAAAACCUAUCAUCUGGC
rnacentral:lncRNA from 1 species